GUGGCUCUAGCUCAGUUGGUAGAGCUACGCGUUGUGAUCGCGUCGGUCACGGGUUCGAGUCCCGUGAGCCACCCCA
rnacentral:tRNA from 1 species